GCCGCGUCGCCGCCCCCGCUGCCUCGGGCCGCCGCUCGCUUGGAGCCGGCGCCGGGCCCGUCCGCCCUCGGUCCGAGGAAGGGGCGGCGCUGGCGGCGGCCACGAUGCACCCAAAGCUGCUGAAGAACGCGCACUACAUUGAGCUGGGAAGCUACCAGUACUGGCCUGUGUUGGUGCCGCGCGGCAUCCGCCUCUACACCUACGAGCAGAUCCCCGUGUCCCUCAAGGACAACCCCUACAUCACGGACGGCUACCGGGCCUACCUGCCCUCGCGCCUCUGCCUCAAGAGUUUGUUUAUUUUAUCCAAUGAGACGGUAAACAUAUGGAGUCAUCUGCUGGGCUUCUUCCUCUUCUUCACUCUGGGCAUAUAUGACAUGACUUCGGUAUUACCUUCAGCCAGAGCUUCAAGAGAAGAUUUUGUAAUUUGUUCUAUUUGUCUUUUCUGCUUUCAGGUUUGUAUGCUUUGUUCUGUGGGCUAUCAUCUUUUCUCCUGCCAUCGCUCAGAAAAAACCUGUCGACGAUGGAUGGCAUUAGAUUAUGCAGGAAUCUCUGUUGGAAUACUGGGUUGUUACGUGUCAGGAGUAUUUUAUGCAUUUUAUUGUAAUAAUUAUUGGCGUCAAGUCUAUCUGAUUAUGGUGCUUGCUAUGAUCCUCACCGUCUUCUUUGCUCAGAUUCACCCCAAUUACCUCACUCAGCAGUGGCACAGACUUCGUUCCAUUAUCUUUUGUUCAGUGUCUGGGUAUGGAGUGAUUCCUACUAUUCAUUGGGUCUGGCUCAAUGGAGGUGUCGGUGCACCUAUUGUACAGGAGUUUGCACCACGUGUAAUUGUGAUGUAUGUGAUUGCUCUUGUUGCUUUCCUCUUCUACAUUUCCAAAGUUCCAGAAAGAUAUUUUCCAGGACAACUAAACUACCUCGGGUCCAGCCACCAAAUAUGGCACAUCCUUGCAGUAGUUAUGUUGUAUUGGUGGCAUCAGUCAACAGUGACUGUCAUGCAGUACAGACACAGCAAACCUUGUCCUGACUAUAUUCCACAUUUGUGAAUGCAGUGUGGAAGCUCCUUGAAUUGAUAAAGAGAAUUGCUUGAAGCAACUACCUUAUACAUUAUUUGUGGAACUUCCUAGUGGGAUAAUCUGCGCUUAGGCCCUUUUCUGAGGGACAGAGUAGCAGGAAUAAGAAGAGAGAAAACAGUGGCCAGUCUGUCCUUGGAAAAUGAUUAAUGGCUCAACAUCAAGGGAACUUGCCAGGUUCUCUGAAGGAAAAUGGAAACAGAAGGAGUCCAUCAAUUGGAAGAAAACUGAGAAAUGGGUAGAUGACCAUGAUGGAAUGGUACUGCUCCAGAAGCAGCAGCAAAUAUGAAGAAUUCAAGAAACUACAUCAAGACUUAAAAUAAUGUAGACCAAAGAAAGGAGAGCCUUACAACAACUAAAGUAAUGAUCAUAUACGUAAAACAAUGUCAUCAAAAUUACAAUCAAAAACAAUAAAAUUCUGUUCUCAGAUUAACUCCAAAGGGUAAUGCUGGUCUUGGAGCAAAGAUGAAACCUACUCUUCAUUGUUUGACAAGCUCAUAAGCACACAAUGAUGCAGAUGCUGCCAGAUGGAGGAUUAAUGCUUUGUCAACUGGAUUCUGCUGAGGUUUUUUUUGCUUUGUAAUAAGGAAGGACUCGAUAGAGAGAUCAGGGAUUUAUACUAGAAAAUUAUGAUGUUAAAAACCAAAAGAUUUUUUAAAAAAACAAAAGUUUUAAAUUUAAAAGAUAAAAAAGGCAGGUAUCAUAGAACCAUUCAUUGAUUUUAGAAUGAAGAAAAAGACUUAGCACUUCAUUGGAUAUAGAAGGGAACAGAAUCACGUUGGAGUUUUAUGUUUCUUUUUAAUUUUGUUCACUACUUUUCUCUAUAGUCUGCCCUGUUUCUCCCCUGCUUCUGAUGCUGAUUAAUAUGUUGUGAGCUAGGGAAAAAAAUGAUAAUUAAAAGUCUAUCAGUCUUAAAUAAUUUGACUUUGUGUUAAAAUAAUCUUAGGUGCCCAGAAGCAUUUUUAUUUAAUUCUGGAUUCUCAGUUAUAUUUAUAGGAGGAUAAAAAUAUAAGGCAAAAAUGGGGAAAUCACUUGUUUCAACUCAAUAUUGACAUAUAUAAGUCAGCCAAAAAAUGUUUCUUAAGAGCUUAUUAUAUGCUAUGUCCUCUAGAUACAGAUGGGGUAAACCAUGUAAACAAACGUGUACAUAAGGCACAUAUAGCAUAAAUGGGAGAUGAGGAAAAUGAGAAGAAUGGAAAAGGUCUCUAGAAGAAGCAUAAUAAAAAAUGAAAAUUGAACCUAUAGAAACUGAUAUCACAAAGUAGAGACAUAGUCAAGGAUGUUAGCAACAUGUAAGGAAAUUGGAAAGGCAAUUUAAGGUUAUGAAAAGGGGUUGUGAAGAGCUUUAUAAAAGCCAGAGGAUUUAAUAUUUAAUCUGGGAGGUAACAAGGAACCACUAGAGUUUAUUGAGGAAGGAGGUGAUAUAGUCAAACUGCUCUAAGAUCACUUUGGCAAAUGAAUGAAGAACAGAUUAAGAAGAAAUUAAGAGAAGGUGGAAGAGAAUAAGCAUUUUUUUAAGUGCACAGAGUACUAGGUACUGUAAUAAGAAUUUGACAAAUAUCUCAUUUGAUCUUUACAACAACUUGUGAGGUAGGUGCUAUUAUCAUCCCCAUUUUAUACUUGAGGAAACUGAGGCAGAUAGAGAUUAAGAGAUUUGCCCAAAGUCAGUAAUUGUUGGAUGUUGGGUGUGAACUCUAGUCUUCUUGACUCCAGGCCUAGUGUUCUCCAUUCACUGCUCCACCUGAUGGCCUCAGAGAAACAGAGCCCAAUCAGAAGACUAUAAUAGUAGUAGAGUUAUGAAAUGAUGAGGGUCUGGGCCUCCAUCAGGAUGGUGGCUUUGAGUAGAGAAAAAGGGAUAUAUACAAGAGAUGUUGUGAAGAUAGAUAUGACAAGACUUGGCAAAAGACUGGAUGACUCAAAGUGAGGAGUCAAGGAUGAUAGACAUGUACAAAAAUGUCUACAGCAGCUCUCUUUGUGGUGGCAAAGAACUGGAAACCAAUGGAAAGGCCAUCAGUUAGGGAAUGGCUGAACUUAUUGUGGCAUAUGAAUGUAACAGAAUAUUGUUCUACAAGAAAUGAUGGUGGACUUCAGCCUAGACAGACUUUCAUGAACUAAUGCUGAGUCAAGUGAGCAGAACCAGGAGAACACUGUAUACAAUAACAGCAAUACUGUGCAGAUGUUCAACUCUGAUAGAUUUUUCUCCUCUCAGCAAUAAAAUGAUGUAAAACAUUUAUAAAAGACUCAUGAUGGAAAAUGCUAUCCACAUCCAGAGAAAAAACUUAUGCAAAUUGAAAUUUUUCUGUUUUCACUUUUUGUUCUUUUUUUUCUCAUUAUUUUUCCCUUUUGUUCUCAUUGUUCUCUCAUAACAUGACUAAUAUGGAAAUGUUUAUUAUGAUUGUACAUGUAUAACCUGUAUCAAACUGACUGCUAUCUUGGGAAGGAGGGAAAAGAAGAAUGGAGAAAAAAUAUGAAAAUCAAAAUCAAAAAUGAAUGUCAAAAAGUAUUUUUUUUCAAAAAGGGUGAUACUGAGAUUCAAGACUGAAUUGCUGAGAGAAUGGGAGUGGGUGCCCUCGGCACUAAUAGAGAAAUUCAUAAAAGGUUUGGGGAGAAGGCAACAAAUAUUGUUUUGGACAUAAUGAGUUUAAUGUGUCCAUUGGGCAGUUGAUGAUACAAGACUAGGGGUCAGGCCUAGAUAAAUGAGAACCAUUUUGUUUAAAAAAAUGAAAAUUGAACCUAUAGAAACUGAUAUCACAAAGUAGAGAUCAGUUAAGUAUAGACCAGGAGUCACUGAAACUCUUUAAAGGAUCACUGCUCCACCUGAUGGCCUCAGAGAAACAGAGACCAAUCAGAAGACUAUAAUAGUAGUAAAGGUCUGAAAUGAUGAGGGUCAAAACUAUUUUUCAUAAUUCUAAGGCAUUAUAAUUUCUAAUAUGGUAAACAUCAAGAUAUAACCCCAUAUAAGCAAAAGUUCUCUGGGGGUUGUUAAGUGUAAAAGGACUUUAAGCCAGAGUUUGAGAGAUCAAAGUACAGAGAAAGAAGACCACACACUGAUUAUUGGGGGAUCAUCCACUAUCAGCAGUUCUGGUCUAGAACUACCUAAGAAAACUGAAACAAUGGCCAGAUAGAUAGGAGGAGAAUCAAGAAAGCAGAAUUAUGAAAAAUCUAGAAAGAGAGGGAGAAGUAGGUAAUUAACAGCAUCAAAAAUUGCAGAAAAGUCAAGAUUAGGGAUGGAGAAAUAGUUGAUCAUUAAAUCUGAUAAGUUAGAAGCUCUCUGGCAAUUUGAGAGACAUUUCAAUGAUGAAGUCAGAGGUCAGACUGUGUUUAGAAGAGAACAUGAAGAACUAAAGUGGAGGGAUCAAAUAAAGAUAGACCUCUCAGAGUUUAACCAUGGAAGAAAGGUAGGGGAGGGAUAUAAGCUAAUAUUACUGUGAGGGUUCAAUCACACUAUCACCUAAGAAUAUCCCAGAACAGGCUAUACUCCAGACCUUCACAGUGCUCCAAAAACCUCUUUAUUUUAGAAAGUUUCUUCAAGAUCAUGGAGCUUCCAAGGCUCCUUCUAGAACCUCUUUUACAGAGAGUGCCCAGGCUAUCUCUCUUCAUUUGUCACCAAGCUUUAAUACAGGCUUCUCCAUCAAGCCUCCCCAGUGAUUACCUUCCUCCCUCUCCCUUAGCUUCCUUUAAUAUUAUCUUCCCACAUUAGAAUAUGAGC